rnacentral:rRNA from 1 species
UACGAAGGGGGCUAGCGUUGCUCGGAAUCACUGGGCGUAAAGGGUGCGUAGGCGGGUUUUUAAGUCAGAGGUGAAAUCCUGGAGCUCAACUCCAGAACUGCCUUUGAUACUGAAAGUCUUGAGUAUGGGAGAGGUGAGUGGAACUGCGAGUGUAGAGGUGAAAUUCGUAGAUAUUCGCAAGAACACCAGUGGCGAAGGCGGCUCUUUGGUCUGUAACUGACGCUGAGGCGCGAAAGCGUGGGGAUCAAACAGGG